rnacentral:rRNA from 1 species
CCUACGGGAGGCAGCAGUGGGGAAUAUUGGACAAUGGGGGGAACCCUGAUCCAGCCAUGCCGCGUGUGUGAAGAAGGCCCUCGGGUUGUAAAGCACUUUCAGUGAGGAAGAACGCCUGGUGGUUAAUACCCAUCAGGAAAGACAUCACUCACAGAAGAAGCACCGGCUAACUCCGUGCCAGCAGCCGCGGUAAUACGGAGGGUGCGAGCGUUAAUCGGAAUUACUGGGCGUAAAGCGCGCGUAGGUGGCUUGAUAAGCCGGUUGUGAAAGCCCCGGGCUCAACCUGGGAACGGCAUCCGGAACUGUCAAGCUAGAGUGCAGGAGAGGAAGGUAGAAUUCCCGGUGUAGCGGUGAAAUGCGUAGAGAUCGGGAGGAAUACCAGUGGCGAAGGCGGUCUUCUGGACUGACACUGACACUGAGGUGCGAAAGCGUGGGUAGCAAACAGGAUUAGAUACCCCGGUAGUC